rnacentral:ncRNA from 2 species
GCAAGCCGUGUGAGCUGAAAGGUUCAUGCACGGUUUAGAGUGGGGGAAAAGGGGGAGAUAAUAUCAAACUCUUACCUAUCACUAU